rnacentral:rRNA from 1 species
UACAGAGACUGCAAGCGUUAUUCGGAUUCACUGGGCGUAAAGGGUGCGCAGGCGGCCAAGUGUGUUAGGCGUGAAAGCCUGAGGCUUAACCUCAGAAUUGCACCUAAAACUACAUGGCUAGAGCAUUGGAGAGGGUAGCGGAAUUCACGGUGUAGCAGUGAAAUGCGUAGAUAUCGUGAGGAACACCAGAGGCGAAGGCGGCUUCCUGGACAAUUGCUGACGCUCAGGCACGAAAGCGUGGGGAGCAAAAGGG